UACGGAGGGUCCGAGCGUUAGCCGGUGUCAUGGGGUUUAAAGGGUCCGUAGGCGGGACAUUAAGUCAGGGGUGAAAAGUUGCAGCUCAACUGCAGAAUGGCCUUUGAUACUGGUGUUCUUGAGUUAUGUUGCUGUGGUCGGAACAUGUGGUGUAGCGGUGAAAUGCAUAGAUAUCACAUAGAACGCCGAUUGCGAAGGCAGGUCACAAUGCAUAUACUGACGCUGAGGGACGUAAGCGUGUGGAGCGAACGGG
rnacentral:rRNA from 1 species